rnacentral:rRNA from 1 species
UACAGAGGGUGCGAGCGUUGUCCGGAAUCAUUGGGCGUAAAGGGUGCGUAGGCGGCGCGGUAAGUCGGGUGUGAAAUCUCGGAGCUUAACUCCGAAACUGCAUUCGAUACUGCCAUGCUUGAGGACUGGAGAGGAGACUGGAAUUUACGGUGUAGCGGUGAAAUGCGCAGAUAUCAGGAGGAACACCGAUUGCGAAGGCAGCUCGCUGGGACGUCAACUGGACGCUGAGACGCGAAAGCGUGGGGAGCAAACAGG